rnacentral:tmRNA from 1 species
GGGGAUGCAAGGCAUAGACAGUGGGUCUAAUGUAAAGAUGCAUGUCGAGAAUGGACGUAAUCUCGUUAAAAUUCGUUCAAAUGUUAAUUGCAAAAUUAGCUUCUAAAGUGAAAACAAUUGUUUCUCCUUACUUCGGUUCGGCGGACUUUGCUUUCGCUUCAGUUUCCGCUUCGGCGUAAGCUGAUGUCCUUCUCAUAGACUUCCGAUAUAUGAGAGCUGGGCAUAAUAUUAUCGGGAUAGGAAAAGAGAUGUCCUGACUUUUUUCCAAAACAAAGGGAAUCGAUUAAAAAAUAUUUUGCUCGUUUAAUAAUUUUUUAAUCUAAAACAAAAACGCGCCACACAUGUAGAUUUUUUUGCAAAAACCUUCUGCACGCGGAUUCAAUUUCCGCCAUCUCCACUC